CGCGAACAUGAGCGCUUAGUUUGUAGAACUACUUCCCACCGCCACCGCGAUCUCUUCCUCCUCCCACGGCUACCACCAGCCCACCUCCCUCGAAGAGGUCCGAAGCCUCUGGAUCGGCGACAUCCAGUACUGGGUCGACGAGAACCAUCUCCACGGCUGCUUCGCCCGCACCGGCGAGGAUCAGAUUUGAUGUAGGCAUUGUUGCUGUUAAUCAGUAUCGAUCAGGUUAUCUCCAGCAGAAUACCAAGGUCGACAUAAGGUUGAAGGUGUACCAGAUAUGACAUCAAUGGUAGGUGCAGUACCAAAUGGGGAGCAAGGGGAAGACACCUAAUCCAUUGGCCAUACCAGAAGUCGACGAGUUGAACACUGCAUACCUUGCUGUUCAUGGAAAUGCUAUGUUGGAAAGGCCCUUGUGGAUGAAGACCUCAGCACUGUUGCAGCCAGCUUAGCUUCAGAUAUUAGCUGCCGUAUUGAUACUGUUUUUCAGUACUGCUUUUGCAUUUCUCCAUUUGUUCCCACCUUUGUAGGUUACACACUGAAAAUAGCUGUAGAGAGACGAAAUAGUUUUCCUGUCAAAGAAAAUUCAUAUUGUUGGAUCCAAGAUUUUUGACUAGAUGGAUUAUAGAAGGUUAUAUAUUUCUGCAAUUCUAAA